CAAAGUUGUGUAGUGCGAUCGGUGGAUGCCUUGGCACCAAGAGCCGAUGAAGGACGUUGUGACCUGCGAUAAGCCCUGGGGAGUUGGUGAGCGAGCUGUGAUCCGGGGAUGUCCGAAUGGGGAAACCUGGAAUGUCCGGAGUAGUGUCCGGUGGCCCUGCCCUGAAUGUAUAGGGGUGUGGGUGGUAACGCGGGGAAGUGAAACAUCUUAGUACCCGUAGGAAGAGAAAACAAGUGUGAUUCCGUGAGUAGUGGCGAGCGAAAGCGGAGGAGGCUAAACCGUGUGUGUGUUCAAGCCGGCAGGUGUUGCAUGUGCGGGGUUGUGGGGGCCUUGUGGUUCUGCUGCCGCAGGAUUGGCCAGUGAGAAAUGUUGCGUGAAGGUGAAGCGUCUGGGAAGGCGUACCGGAGUGGGUGAGAGUCCUGUAACUGUAAGCGUGGCACUGGUGUGGGGUUGCCCCGAGUAGCGUGGAACUCGUGGAAUUUCGCGUGAAUCUGGCGGGACCACCCGUCAAGCCUAAAUACUCCUUGGUGACCGAUAGUGGAUGAGUACCGUGAGGGAAGGGUGAAAAGUACCCCGGGAGGGGAGUGAAAGAGUUCCUGAAACCGGUCGCAUGCAAGCCGUCAGAGCCUGUGUGGUGAUGGCGUGCCUUUUGAAGAAUGAGCCUGCGAGUNAGUGAUGCGUGGCGAGGUUAACCCGUGGUGGGGGAGUCGUAGCGAAAGCGAGUCCGAUAAGGGCGUGAGUCGCGUGUUCUAGACCCGAAGCGGUGUGAUCUAUCCAUGGCCAGGAUGAAGCGUCGGUAAGACGUCGUGGAGGUCCGAACCCACUUCAGUUAAAAAUGGAGGGGAUGAGUUGUGGAUAGGGGUGAAAGGCCAAUCAAACACCGUGAUAGCUGGUUCUCCCCGAAAUGCAUUUAGGUGCAGCGUUGCGUGGUUCUUGUUGGAGGUAGAGCACUGGAUGGUCUAGGGGGCUUAUCGGCUUACCGAAAUCAGCCAAACUCCGAAUGCUGGCAAGUGUAGCGUGGCAGUGAGACGGCGGGGGAUAAGCUUCGUCGUCGAGAGGGAAACAGCCCAGAUCAUCAGCUAAGGCCCCUAAGUGGUGACUCAGUGGGAAAGGAUGUGGAGUUGCGUAGACAACCAGGAGGUUGGCUUGGAAGCAGCCAUCCUUGAAAGAGUGCGUAAUAGCUCACUGGUCAAGUGAUUCCGCGCCGAUAAUGUAGCGGGGCUUAAGUUAUCCGCCGAAGCUGUGGCAACCUGUGUGGUUGGGUAGGGGAGCGUCGUGUCAGUGGUGAAGCUGCCGGGGGACUGUGUGGAGGUCGCUAGAUGGUCGAGUGAGAAUGCAGGCAUGAGUAGCGUGUGACGGGUGGGAAUCACCUCCACGGUUAUCCAAGGGUUCCAGGGUCAAGUUUGUCUGCCCUGGGUGAGUCGGGUCCUAAGGCGAGGCCGACAGGCGUAGUCGAUGGGUAACCAGUUGAUAUUCUGGUACCGGCUUGUCACCGUCCGUGUCGAGGUGUGUGAUGCUAAGCAUGUGAGCUUGUCUUGGGAGUGUUUUUGAUGCUUCUGGGGUGGGUGAGUGUGUGAACCGAUCAUGUAGUAGGCAAGCUGCGGAGGGACGCAGUGAGGUAGCUCAUCCCCGGUGAUGGUUGUCCGGGGCUAAGUGUGUGGACUGUCUGGUAGGUAAAUCCGCUGGGCGUGAAGGUUGAGGCAUGAUGGGGAGCCCACGGUUGUGGGUGAGUGAGUGAUCCUGUACUGUCGAGAAAAGCUUCGUGAGCGAGGUGGCGGGUCNGCCCGUACCCUAAACCGACACUGGUGGAUAGGUAGAGUAUACCGAGGCGAUCGAGUGAAUCGUGGUGAAGGAACUCGGCAAAAUGCCCCCGUAACUUUGGGAUAAGGGGGACCUGAGCUGUCGUGCACNNGUGCNGUGUGGNGGUCGNUAGAGGGGCGCAGAGUCCAGGGGGAAACGACUGUUUACCAAAAACACAGGUCCGUGCGAAGUCGUAAGACGAUGUAUACGGACUGACUCCUGCCCGGUGCUGGAAGGUUAAGGGGAACUGUGAGUGUANGCGUAGCGGUGAACUUAAGCCCCAGUAAACGGCGGUGGUAACUAUAACCAUCCUAAGGUAGCGAAAUUCCUUGUCGGGUAAGUUCCGACCUGCACGAAUGGNGUAACGANUUCNCUACUGUCUCNACCANNNACUCGGNGAAAUUGCAUUACGAGUAAAGAUGCUCGUUACGCGCAGCAGGACGGAAAGACCCCGGGACCUUUACUAUAGUUUGGUAUUGGUGAUUGGGACGGUUUGUGUAGGAUAGGUGGGAGACGUUGAUGCGGCCACGCUAGACGGUGGGUGGAGGUCGCUAGAUGGUCACUGGUACGGUGGAGGUCGCUAGAUGGUC
rnacentral:rRNA from 1 species